GUGUUUCUAUAUAUACAUGUGUGUUUCUAUAUAUACAUGUGUGUUUCUGUAUAUACAUGUGUGUUUCUAUAUAUAUAUGUGUUUCUAUAUAUACAUGUGUGUUAUUGAGUAAUCAUGUGGGAUACAGUAGUGUACUAACAAAGAAAAAGCGAGUUUACCCACCUAAAUAUUUUCUGUAAAUGUUUAACUUAUCUCUGGUUUGAUCAGUUCAUAUAGACUGUGGUCAGUUAGUACUUAUAAACUGUGGUCAGUUAGUGUAUAUAAAAUGUGGUCAGCUAGUUCACAAACAAU
rnacentral:lncRNA from 1 species